rnacentral:rRNA from 1 species
GAUGAACGCUAGCGGCGGGCUUAAUACAUGCAAGUCGAGGGGCAGCACGAUGUAGCAAUACAUUGGUGGCGACCGGCGGACGGGUGCGUAACACGUAUGCAACUUGCCCUAUACUAGGGAAUAGCCCGAAGAAAUUCGGAUUAAUACCCUAUAACAUCUGAAAAGGCAUCUUUUUGGGUUCAAAGCUCCGGCGGCAUAGGAUGGGCACGCGGUCGAUUAGCUUGUUGGUGAGGUAAUAGCUCACCAAGGCGACGAUCGAAAGGGGGCCUGAGAGGGUGAUCCCCCACGCUGGUACUGAGACACGGACCAGACUCCUACGGGAGGCAGCAGUAAGGAAUAUUGGUCAAUGGGCGCAAGCCUGAACCAGCCACGCCGCGUGAAGGAAGACGGCCCUAUGGGUUGUAAACUUCUUUUCUACGGGAAUAAACCUCAGGACGUGUCCUGAGCUGAAGGUAUCGUAGGAAUAAGGAUCGGCUAACUCCGUGCCAGCCGCCGCCGUAAAAC